UGUAAAUAAAAGGCUAUUAAAUAAAAAAAAUAAAAAAUAAAAAAAGAAACAAGAGUUUAGAAGGAUAAACUGAAUAGAAAUAUGUGCUGCUCUGAAUAAAUGAAAAUCCUUCUUCAUAUGGGGGCUCAGAGAAAAUAUGGAGGUCUGUGAAGCAGAGCCAUCAUGAUGAGGGAUCUCACCGCAUAUUCUCUCUGCUUUAUUAGAACAGUGGUUCUUGAUCUUUUGGGACUCAAGAAAACUUUAUGCAUGUUCUGCAAUUUCUGCAAUCUUCUUUUGAUGAAAGAAAUUUCCUCUAUCAAAGAAAGAAUAUGAUCUCUUGAAAUCCUUCUGCCAUCCAUGGAUCCAAGAUUAAGAACCCUUGGGCAAUAUGAUCUCUAAGAUGCUAUGAUUAAAUUGGCUGUCCUUCAUAUUUAGAUAUAAUUAAAG